ACCAAGGCUCUUUUAAGAGCCACUCACAGUAUCGAGAAAAUAGCUG
rfam:Pteropus alecto contig103718, whole genome shotgun sequence.